rnacentral:rRNA from 1 species
UACGUAGGGCGCAAGCGUUAUCCGGAAUUAUUGGGCGUAAAGAGCUCGUAGGCGGUUUGUCGCGUCUGCUGUGAAAGACCGGGGCUCAACUCCGGUUCUGCAGUGGGUACGGGCAGACUAGAGUGAUGUAGGGGAGACUGGAAUUCCUGGUGUGGCGGUGAAAUGCGCAGAUAUCAGGAGGAACACCGAUGGCGAAGGCAGGUCUCUGGGCAUUAACUGACGCUGAGGAGCGAAAGCAUGGGGAGCGAACAGG